rnacentral:rRNA from 1 species
GUCCACGCUGUAACGAUGAGCGCUAGGUGUCGUGGGUAUUGACCCCGCGGUGCCGUAGCUAACGCAUUAAGCGCUCCGCCUGGGAAGUACGGUCGCAAGACUAAACUCAAAGGAAUUGACGGGGCCCGCACAAGCGGUGGAGCAUGUGGUUUAAUUCGACGCAACGCGCAGAACCUUACCUGGGCUGGAAAGUGCUUGGAAGUCUUGUGAAAGCGAGAUGUGCCCGCAAGGGAGCCAAGUGACAGGUGCUGCAUGGCUGUCGU